AACGAACGCUGGCGGCAUGCCUAACACAUGCAAGUCGAACGAGAUCCUUCGGGGUCUAGUGGCGCACGGGUGCGUAACGCGUGGGAAUCUGCCCUUAGGUUCGGAAUAACAGUUAGAAAUGACUGCUAAUACCGGAUGAUGACGUUAAGUCCAAAGAUUUAUCGCCUGAGGAUGAGCCCGCGUAGGAUUAGCUAGUUGGUGUGGUAAAGGCGCACCAAGGCGACGAUCCUUAGCUGGUCUGAGAGGAUGAUCAGCCACACUGGGACUGAGACACGGCCCAGACUCCUACGGGAGGCAGCAGUGGGGAAUAUUGGACAAUGGGCUCAAGCCUGAUCCAGCAAUGCCGCGUGAGUGAUGAAGGCCUUAGGGUUGUAAAGCUCUUUUACCCGGGAUGAUAAUGACAGUACCGGGAGAAUAAGCCCCGGCUAACUCCGUG
rnacentral:rRNA from 1 species